GUAGAUAGGUAUUUACUUGUUCUUGUUAGUAUGUUGUCUUCGAGAAAAUCCUUAACGCUAAUUUUGGAUUUCCUUUCUUUUAAAAAUGCAACUAGUCAGCAGCAAAAAUUAAAAUAAAAGGCCGAAUCCACAGAAUUUUUUGGCGAAAAUUUUGAGGAAUAUCCACAAUGCAUCGAUAUUUAGAUGUUGUCAAUUGUACGCAAAAGAAAUAUCGAUAUGGGAAACUAUCGCAACUGAAAAUACCAGGAAAUACCUAUAGAUGGCGCUGCUGAGCUGUUAUCGGAGGUUUGUUGUCGAUUAUUUGUAUAUUCUGGUAACACUAAUUAUCAGAAAACACCGAUGUUUCCAUCUCUACUGUGGAAUCACAUCUCCGCCGCUGAACGCUGAAGACUGUAUUUUUUUUCGAGUGCAAUUCGGCCAAUAAGAAAAUUAUUAAAUACCCAAAUACUCCCCCAAUAAGAUAAUAAAUAAAAAGCACUGGGGCGAGGGUUAGAGAAAGGUGUCGCGUAUGUGAACGAGUGUAUAUGUGUGACGUUUACAGAAACAAAAAAAUAAAUAAAAGUUCGGUGGCGUCUAAAUUUUUGAGUUAAAUUAACCGUACAUAUACAUGUACAUUAAUGGAUCGUUGGCGAUAGGAAUAUUGGCCAAGCUGAUCUGAUCCGCAGAAUGCGUUCUGAUUGAAUACACCAGCCAGCCACCCAACUCCCCAAAAAUAAAAAAAAAAAGUACAACAACUUGAGAAAAAAAAGGGCAACGGCAAUUUGUUGCUGCCGCUGCGACAGCGACAGCGAUAACAACAAAAGAAAGCCCCGCCCCCCACGCCACCAAAGCAACGGUUCAUUCACAGUGGCAGCAGCACAGUAGAAGAAGAGGAAGAGAUUCUUGACCUGUGACCUCCAACUAUGUGGAUCAUAAUGUGGCGGUUUUAGAUAAUAAA